CGCCUACGGGGGGCAGCAGUGGGGGAUAUUGCACAAUGGGGGAAACCCUGAUGCAGCGACGCCGCGUGUGGGAAGACGGUCCUCUGGAUUGUAAACCACUGUCCCCAGGGACGAAGAUGACGGUACCUGAGGAAUAAGCCACGGCUAACUACGUGCCAGCAGCCGCGGUAAUACGUAGGUGGCAAGCGUUAUCCGGAUUUACUGGGUGUAAAGGGCGUGUAGGCGGGGAAGCAAGUCAGAUGUGAAAACCACGGGCUCAACCUGUGGCCUGCAUUUGAAACUGUUUUUCUUGAGUACUGGAGAGG
rnacentral:rRNA from 1 species